rnacentral:RNase_P_RNA from 1 species
GUCGGUCGGCUUGUCGCCUGCGCCUCGUGCGCAUGAGGAAAGUCCGGGCAACACAGAGCAUCCUACUUCCUAACAGAAAGCUGUCCGCGAGGGUAGAGUAACGUAGAAGAGAAUGACCGCCGCAACCUCCGGGCUGCGGUAAGGGUGAGAAGGUGGGGUAAGAGCCUACCAGCCUUGUGGCGACACAAGGGCUGUACGUCUUGGGAGUUGUAAGGUCAUGUAAACCGGCGCUAUGAGAGCUGCUCGCUCCAUGCCGGAGGGUAGACCGCUAAAGCCGUAUGGCGACAUACGGCUCAGAUAAAUGACAGGCGCCUCGCUUCAAUGGGGAAUGAAACAUGAACAAUGCGGCAUUCUCCAUUUACCGAGGAUACAGAACCCGGCUUACAGACCGGCUGCU